rnacentral:lncRNA from 1 species
GAGCGCCACCGCGGUGUUGGCGAGUGUGAAGAGAGAGGAGGAGCGUUUGCGGCCUCAGCGUCUGUCAACAGGUGAGCGUUUCCUGGAGCUUUUCUGAGUGGCUCCUGACCCUUGAGGUCCAGCGGCGCGGGAGUCCGUUGUGAACGUUGCGAACGUUCGGAGUGGCGGUCACGAGGCGCGCUCAGACCUCGGGAAUCCGGCCGGGUUCGGAUCCCGCUUUCGCCCCCGAGGGGUUCGGAUCCCGCUCUCGCCCCCGAGGGGUUCGGAUCCCGCUCUCGCCCCCGAGGGGUUCGGAUCCCGCUCUCGCCCCCGAGGGGUUUGGAUCCCUCUCUCGCCCCCUUGAGGGCUCUUGGGAGGUUUCAAGCGGACGGUACUGAAAAUGGGAGUUCCAGUUCGGGGGCAGACCAGUGUUCAGAGUCCGGGCUCUGCUACUCAGCGCCCGAGGCAGCGCCUCCCCAUUCAACGGGGGCCGUGGCAAUUCCCUGACAUGAUUCAUGACCACAUAAUACAUCCGGAAACUUCUCUCCACCGCCUCCCGUCUGGGCCGUCGCCCCCGGCCUGGGAGACUCCAGGUCUCAGAGUCUCUGCCCCCACGGGCGAUCAGUGCUGCCCAGUGGAAAAAUAAUGCCAGCCGCGCACCAAAAUUAGGUGUAAAAUUAACAUUUUUUGGAAGCCACUUUUUUUUUUUUGAGAUGGAAUCUCGCGCUGUCACUCAGGCUGGAGUGCAAUGGCGCGAUCUCGGCUCACUGCAACCUCUACCUCCCGGGUUCAAGCGAUUCUCCUGCCUCAGCCUCCUGAGUAGCUGGGAUUACAGAGGCUGGUCAUGGAGGAUUUCUUGAGGCCAGGAGUUCAAGAUCAGCCUGGGCAACAUAACAAGACCUCAUAUCUACAAAAAAUAAAAGAAUAAGCCAGGUGUGGUAGUGCAUACCUGUAGUGUCUGCUACUCCUGAAGCUGAGGCAGGAGGAUCUCUUGAGCCCAGAAUGCUCCAGCCACUGCACUCCAGCCUGAGUGUCAGAGUGAGACCCUGUCUCUAAAAAUUAAAAUUAAAUUUUAAAAAAGAAAGUUCAGUUUAGCUGUCUUGAUAGCCGCAGUUGAGUGCUCCUGAGCCCGUGUGACAAGUGGCUCCUGUAUUACUGGACAGCGAAGGUCAGAAACACAUUUGACCAGGUCACUUCUCCGGAUGAGAGCAUUGUCUUUGAAACUCUAUGCUUUGUCUCCUGUUAACCACCCAGCUCCAACUUCAAACCAGGCUAAGUAACCCUCUUUUUGUUAAAAUUCUGACAAGCCACUCCCAGUGCAAAGCCUCUGCCCAGAACCUCUUCUCCUAGGCUCUUGGCAUGGCUUAUGCCUUCUUGUCAUUCAAGUCUCUGUUCAAAUGUCCUCUCCCCAGAGAGGCCUUUCUAAGGGUGCUCUGGACAGUGUUCAAACUCACAGGCCGUACGCCUGAACAGCACUGAGCCAAGGCACUAGUAUUUCUUACCCAGUCACCUCUGUGGGCUCACUAGGACUCACUCACUGUGCUAGUAUGUUUUCCUUUUCCUUUUCUUUUUAAACAAUCCAGUUCCUGUGGGAUUUUUUUUUUUUAAUAGAGGUCUGUUGCCCAGGCUGGAGUGCAAGUGGCAUAAUCGUGGCUCACUAUAACCUGGAACUCUUGGGCUCAAGUGAUCCUCCCACCUCAGCCUCCCGAGUGGCUGGGAUCACCAGUGCGUGCCACCAUGCCUAAUUUGUUUUAUUUUAUUUUAUUUUUUUUUUGAGAGGGAGUCUUGCUCUGUCACUCAGGCUGGAAUGCAGUGGCGCAAUCUCAGCUCACUGCAACCUCCUGCUUCCAGCUUCAAGCGAUUCUCCCACCUCAGCCUCCCGAGUAGCUGGGACUACAGGCACACGCUACCUUACCCAGCUAAUUUUUGUAUUUUUAGUAAAGAUGGGGUUUCACUAUGUUGGCCAGGCUGGUCUCAAACUCCUGACCUCAGGUGAUCCACUCACCUCGGCCGCCCAAAGUGCUGAGAUUACAGGCAUGAGCCACCGUGCCCUGCCUCUUAUACUUUUUAAAUUUUUUGUAGAGACAGGGUCUCGCUGUUGCCCAGGCUGGUCUUGAAACUCCUGGCCUCAAGCAGUCCACCUAUCUUGUCCUUAAGUGCUGGGAUUACAGCGCCUAGCCCAUUUUUGGUAUCUACAUCUCACAUUAAGUUAAGAAAAAUUCUUUUUAGCUGUUAAAAAAUCGAAAGCUUUGUUUUUAUUCUUUUGAAAUUAUUUGGCUUCAAGGAAACUCACAUUUAUGAUUCGCUUGAUUUCUUGGCAAUCAUUGCAUACUUAGGGAUAUUUGUGAUUUGAGAAAAUCUAAUUUCCAAAUGUAAUUCGAUUGCUUAUGAAUACUAAAUUUAAUGAUUAAUGCAGUUGUCAUGAUGUCACAUUUCUAGAUGCUUAAUUAAACAUUUAUUCAUUCCAACUUUGUAGUUUUCUCUUUGCAUUGUGGAACUUUUUUCCCUUUAUCCCUGUCCCUGACCUUUUCGUAGCCCCUGAGAAGCUCAUGAUCCACCAGCAUUAUUUCCGUGGCGCUAAUGAAGAAUGUGGCCCUGUCUAUGAUGCAUUCUCCUUACAGCUGGCUGAAUGAUCUUCACUUGUAAACCAGAUCAUGUCAUUACUCUGCUUAAAACCUUCAGAGGCUUAUCCUACUUAGAAUGAAACCUAAGAUCUUUCCUAUGGCUUAGGCGGCCCUGCGUGGUGGCCUCAGCUGACCUCUCAGGCCUCAUCUACCAUUCUUCCUCUUGUCACCGCUCUCAAGCCCAGCUGGCUUUAUUUCCCUUCUUUCAACACACCCAGCUUAUUUCUGCCGCAGGGCUUUGCACUUGCCGUUCCCUCUGCCUGGAAUGUGCUUCCUC